rnacentral:rRNA from 1 species
CAGCUCGUGUCGUGAGAUGUUGGGUUAAGUCCCGCAACGAGCGCAACCCUCACCUUCAGUUGCCAUCGGGUCAGGCCGGGCACUCUGAAGGAACUGCCGGUGACAAGCCGGAGGAAGGCGGGGAUGACGUCAAGUCCUCAUGGCCCUUAUGGGCUGGGCUACACACGUGCUACAAUGGCGGUGACAGAGGGACGCGAAGGGGCGACCCUUGGCCAAUCUCCAAAAGCCGUCUCAGUUCGGAUUGUUCUCUGCAACUCGAGAGCAUGAAGCUGGAAUCGCUAGUAAUCGCGGAUCAGCAUGCCGCGGUGAAUACGUUCCCGGGCCUUGUACACACCG